CCCUUAGAUGUUCUGGGCCACACGCGCGUUACACUGAUGAAGCCAGCGAGUAUAUCGCCUUCACCGGAAGGUGCGGGUAAUCUUGUGAAACUUCAUCGUGCUGGGGAUAGACCAUUGCAAUUAUUGGUCUUGAACGAGGAAUUCCUAGUAAGCAUGAGUCAUCAACUCGUGCUGAUUACGUCCCUGCCCUUUGUACACACCGCCCGUCGCUACUACCGAUUGAAUGGUUUAGUGAGAUCUCAGGAUUGGAGACGUUGCGCCGCAAGGCACAUCGUCCUCGAGAACUUGAUCAAACUUGAUCAUUUAGAGGAAGUAAAAGUCGUAACA
rnacentral:rRNA from 1 species